GAAACUACACCUUUAUCUAUUUGUAAUUUUCCUUCCCCUGCCAGGUUGCAUUCAUGGGAGGAGGAAAGAAGUUGGGAGAAGACAGUGUAACUUUAUGGUGUCCAUGUAUUGAAAGGAGUCAAAUGCUUUACCAUGCAUUUCAAUGGAAAUAUGGAGAAAAAAGUGCAUCCUGUGGUUCAGUGAUACUUAUGUAAUUACUGGAGGAACAGAUGGCCAAUCCAUAGUACACAGAUUCCACAAAAAUUUAGAAGCAAUGUGUCCAUACACACAGCUGAUGACAAGGGAAAACAUUGGAAGCAAAUUGACUUAUGACUUGCUGGAAACUUCGAAUUAUACUAUCAAAUAGAUGAAGAAGGCUGAUGUAUACAAUUUGCCAACAGUGGAGGGCAUUGCGACAAAACAUGCACCCUAUAGGAAAGGCAAGGCUGUCAAACACCAUUACUUCCAAGCCGUAAUUCCACGCUGACUCAGCCACAGGCAGGCAGUAAUCACAGCCAAGUUUAUGUGCUCACAAUUGAUGUGGCCAUAUUUCCACAUUCUUAAAAGCAAAGCCAGGAGGAAAGGGUGAUCAAAAAGUUUUUAUGGGACUAGUCACGAAAUGCUGACAGCUUGGGGUUAUUGAUUUGUCUUUGGCUAACUUCUGUAACUCAAAGUGAUUUGCCUAACCAAAAAUGAAGGCAUGUCAGGGGAAUCCUUGUGGGUUCUUUUUUGUUUUUUUGACUAUUUUGUAACAAAGACUUCGUCAGUUCUUUAUCCUAUAGAGAAUAAUUGAUUUGGAGUGAUGGUAAGUGUUCAGAUGAGAUAUCUAAAGACAUUUAUCUUAGCAGUCCCACAGCCCACAGAAUCAAUAUUGUUUAUGUUAAUGAUGUGAUUGGCUCACUGCUUCAGAAAUACUGAAAGGCGUGUGCAGGAGCACUCAAGGCACCAUUGUCAAUUACCUCUUUGUAUUCCUAAUUGUAGAAAUAAACCACUGGAUAUGUAUUUGACUACAGCUCUGAGCCAG
rnacentral:lncRNA from 1 species